rnacentral:rRNA from 1 species
UACGUAGGGGGCAAGCGUUGUCCGGAUUUACUGGGCGUAAAGGGCUCGUAGGCGGCCAACUAAGUCAGACGUGAAAUCCCUCGGCUUAACCGGGGAACUGCGUCUGAUACUGGAUGGCUUGAGUUCGGGAGAGGGAUGCGGAAUUCCAGGUGUAGCGGUGAAAUGCGUAGAUAAUCUGGAGGAACACCGGUGGCGAAGGCGGCAUCCUGGACCGAU